UCUACUCCCGUAAAGAACUGCCACAGCACAAAGACAGUAUGAAUGUUCUAGGAAAAUCAAUCAAACCUACAUUUGAAGAGCUACAAAUUGAUGAAAAUGCCAAAAAAAGUGAUGUUGUUCAGUUACAAGUCGUAGAGAAAUUAGCGGACAAUGAUAUUCUUGGUGUUUAUUAUGAUUAUCUCAAGCUCAAGGACAUAAAUGCCAGUGAAUUAUUGAAGUCAAGGCAUAUGGAAAUAGAUUAUCUUCAAUCUAUUAUUACCAAAGCCGGAAAUGCAUUAUCUAUUGAGCAUAUCAAUAAUCAGGUAUGCAUGGAAAUUCUAUUCUUUCUUUUGGAUUAGAGAGAAAAAAGAUUGUUUUUGCCUAAAAAGAUUAAAUUUUGCAGAUAUGUGACCUAGAAAAUAAGAUAAAACAUGAUGUUCUUGCAUUGGAGGUAAGGAAAAAGCUCAAGCGUGAAAUCUCUCGACUGAGCCAACGUCGCGAAAAAUUAUCUUCUUCUUCUUUCUUUGAUAUCAAAGACGAAGAUGGAAUCAGGCAGUAUCGUGAAGUGAGAGACGAGGCCGAAGAUUUUUUAAAGGUUGUUUCACGCAAGGAGCUUGAUAUAUUGAAUGAGAGUUCCAUAAAAGCUAAAGCAGCUGUUACGGAAUUCAAGAAAAAAUGUGAUGAUGCUGCUGAACAAGUGGAAAAACUCCAAGCCAAUUACAUAGCUGCCUCUGAUGUUUGCAUAGAAGCAAUUGCUAUCAAGGAUAAUAUGAAAAAAAAAAUAUUGUGACAAGAUUGCAUUGCUUGGCCACUGCUUGUCGGAUGCAUAUGCAUGAUAAUACUCAAACUUAAAGAUUUGAGUUGAUGUGUAUUUCUCAUUCAUAGUACUAUUAUUCUAUGAUUAAGUACUAUGAUGAUCUAAAUCAUGUAUAUAGGCAUGAGGCCUACAUCGAGUACACAAAUUCAAGUUAUAAACCUCAUAUAUGUACUCGAAAAGAUUAUUCGUUGGUGAUUCAAUAAUAUGAAAAAAAAUAUAUCACGAGGUUUG